AGCUUUGUGCAGUGGCAGUAUCGUACCCAAUGAGGUUGGUCCGAGGGGUGAUUAUUGCUAAAAAAUCUUAUCAUCAGAG
rnacentral:snRNA from 15 species